rnacentral:lncRNA from 1 species
CAGGGUCUCACUCUGUUACCCAGCCUGGAGUGCAGUAGUAUGAUUAUAGCUCCCGGCAACCUCGAACUCCUCGGCUCAGGACCAACCAGAGAAAGCCAAAUAUGUAUCCUCAACUGACCACAUAGGAUGCCGUGCUUCCACUUAACCUGCCUCCAGCCAGCAACAUCAAAUCAGGGCAUACCUGAAGUCUUUCCUUUUUUCACAUUAUAAAGCUUUCACACUCUCCUGCCUGCCUUCCGAUCUCUGAAAAACACAAGUGAUGGUGGC